CUUACAAAUUGAGGUUUGUGUGAUCCUAAUAGAGGUUAAUGAAAGAUCCUCUAGUUCUCGAGCUAACAACAAAGCCUAUUCAAAAAAAGAUUCAAUCUUUAUGCCCUAUUUCAUAUAAAGAUCGAAUCUUUCAACAAGUAGAAGUGAGAUUCGAGUGUUUUGAGACUUGUUAUUGAUUUUACUAUCCACAAACACAUCAUUUGCUUUAUAAUUUUUUUUUGUUUUUUAAUGAUAUGGGGUCCUAUUAUGUUUGUGAGUCUAAUUCCCUCAAAUCAGGUGUGUUGUGUUUUUAAUUUAACAAUUCGAGUGCAUUGCAUUGAACUUACAAAUUGAGGUUUGUGUGGAUCCUAAUAGAGGUUAAUGAAAGAUCCUCUAGUUCUCGAGCUAACAACAAAGCCUAUUCAAUAUAAAGAUUCAAUCUUUAUGCCCUAUUUCAUAUAAAGAUCGAAUCUUUCAACAAGUAGAAGUGAGAUUCGAGUGUUUUGAGACUUGUUAUUGAUUUUACUAUCCACAAACACAUCAUUUGCUUUAUAAUUUUUUUUUAGUUUUUUAAUGAUAUGGGGCCUAUUAUGUUUGAGUCUAAUUCCCUCAAAUCAGGUGUGUGUGUGUGUUCGAGUGCAUUGCAUUGAACUUACAAAUUGAGGUUUGUGUGGAUCCUAAUAGAGGUUAAUGAAAGAUCCUCUAGUUCUCGAGCUAACAACAAAGCCUAUUCAAAUAAAGAUUCAAUCUUUAUGCCCUAUUUCAUAUAAAGAUCGAAUCUUUCAACAAGUAGAAGUGAGAUUCGAGUGUUUUGAGACUUGUUAUUGAUUUUACUAUCCACAAACACAUCAUUUGCUUUAUAAUUUUUUUUUUAGUUUUUUAAUGAUAUGGGGUCCUAUUAUGUUGUGAGUCUAAUUCCCUCAAAUCAGGUGUGUGUGGUUUCGAGUGCAUUGCAUUGAACUUACAAAUUGAGGUUUGUGUGGAUCCUAAUAGAGGUUAAUGAAAGAUCGUCUAGUUCUCGAGCUAACAACAAAGCCUAUUCAAAUAAAGAUUCAAUCUUUAUGCCCUAUUUCAUAUAAGAUCGAAUCUUUCAACAAGUAGAAGUGAGAUUCGAGUGUUUUGAGACUUGUUAUUGAUUUUACUAUCCACAAACACAUCAUUUGCUUUAUAAUUUUU